rnacentral:rRNA from 1 species
CUGAGAGGAUGAUCAGCCACACUGGGACUGAGACACGGCCCAGACUCCUACGGGAGGCAGCAGUGGGGAAUAUUGGACAAUGGGCGAAAGCCUGAUCCAGCAAUGCCGCGUGAGUGAUGAAGGCCUUAGGGUUGUAAAGCUCUUUUACCCGGGAUGAUAAUGACAGUACCGGGAGAAUAAGCUCCGGCUAACUCCGUGCCAGCAGCCGCGGUAAUACGGAGGGAGCUAGCGUUGUUCGGAAUUACUGGGCGUAAAGCGCGCGUAGGCGGUUUUUUAAGUCAGAGGUGAAAGCCCGGGGCUCAACCCCGGAAUU